rnacentral:snRNA from 2 species
AUCACUUUUUGGCCUUUGACUAAGAUCAAGAGUAGUAUCUGUUCUUAUUGGUUUAAUAUGAGGGCAAUUACGAUCAUAAAAUGGUAACAGCUUUGUUUUUUUCUUCAAAUUCUUAUACCUCUU